rnacentral:pre_miRNA from 1 species
CGUUAAAAGUUUCAUCUAUUUGUACUCUUAAAAAUUGGUGUGGUUGACGGAAUAACUAGAUAGUAACACAUGUUGUGCCACAUGUACUUCAUGUUGAUGUAGAGGAAUCAGUUUUAAUCAGUAGAAAUGGAUCCAAGGGCUAAUUUACCC